CUCAUGGGAAAGGCUGUGCCCAGAGCCAAGGAGGAGCUGUGGGGACGUCUCUCCCAAGUCAUCCGUUCUCCCCAUUUAGACUUCAUCCUUAGGACGGACCUUCAGGCACCCAGGCUGCCUACUGACCUCCCUGGCAUGGGUGGGAACCGGGAGCUCGUUGGUAAGCAGGAGGAUUCAGGACUAUCGACUGAACCCCACCUCCUCUGUGGCACGCACCGUGCUGUGUCUUUGCAGUCAUCAUCUCAUCACCUCUGCACAGGAAGAUUAUCUCCCCCAUUUUGUGAUGAGGAAAUGGAGGCUCCAGGUGGAAAGAUGCAACCUGGGCCAGAGGCCCCUGGAGGUUGUGCCUGAACCCAGACAGAUCACACAAACCUGAGCAGCCAUUAGCCGCUGUGUGGGCUCCUUUGCACUGUGGGGCUGCUCCUGGGGAUAUUUACGUUGUGAACUGGUAAAAUCUGAACUGCAGAAUAUCAAUUUCCAGACAUUCUUCCUAGAUGAUGCCGUCUGCCACGG
ensembl:lncRNA LINC00539 long intergenic non-protein coding RNA 539